GAAAGGAAUCACCUUGUCUUUGCUGUUUCAUCAGAGUUCUGGUUCUUGAAAGUCAGUGUCAGAUGGAUCUCCAAUAGAAGGCAAGGAAGACAGAGGGUUUCUAUCAAUACUGUUUUGUUCAUGCUCUUUAGAUUCUUAAAAUCAUGGAGCUAGAGACAAGAUCAAAUGGUGCUUUCUUUGCCUAAUUCUGGAUGCAACUGUUUAGAUGUGUUUUGGAGACCCAGUAAGGCUGUGUUUCUAGUUUAAGAAGGCAAUAUACUGGAAGGCUUUGAGUCAUCUGUAACACACUAGGACCCAGCAACCUCCUAGGAGUUGUACUCCAAGUCUAACUCAGUGAAGGAUUGUGACACGCAGCUGCCUGGAUGAAGGUCACAUUAGCUGGACUCAAGUCUAAUUUCAGAGAUAAGAUCUUGCUACUCUACUAUUGUUUUGCCACAACUCAGCAAACAACAAAGUACAAGAAAAUAUUAGCCUGCAAGAUGAUCCUUGGGUGCUUUUUAAUAUAAUUUUCCCUCUGUUAUUACCAGAUGGAGGCGGGGUUCCUAGAAGGACUAUAGUUCCUUCAAGAAGGAAGAUUUUUUUUAGUGCAUAAGGACACCAAUUUUGAUUAGAAACAUGAAUUGUGCAUUGCAGUUUUUAACUUUUUGCCUUCCUUGUAGCAUUAAGUUUGCACAAUAAAUAAAUAAUAUGUGCCUUA